AUAGUACUCCCCCCGUCCGGAAUUACGUGUCGCGAAAAUGGAUGAAAAUGGAUGUAUCUCGAACUAAAAUACGUCUAGAUACAUCCAUUUCCCCGACAAGUAUUUCUGGACGGAGGGAGUAUAUU
rfam:Triticum aestivum genome assembly, contig: Triticum_aestivum_CS42_TGACv1_scaffold_080539_1DS